rnacentral:rRNA from 1 species
GACGAACGCUGGCGGCGUGCCUAAUACAUGCAAGUCGAACGCAGUGGGGACGGGUGAGUAACACGUGGGUAACCUACCACAAGAGGGGAUAAUACUUGGAAACAGGUGUUAAUCCGAUACGGUUGGCUGGACCCGCGGUGCAUUAGCUAGUUGGUGAGGUAACGGAUCACCAAGGCAACGAUGCAUAGCCGAACUGAGAGGUUGUUCGGCCACACUGUGACGGAGACACGGCCCAGACUCCUACGGGAGGCAGCAGUAGGGAAUCUUCGGCAAUGGACGAAAGUCUGACCGAGCAGCGCCGCGUGAGUGAAGAAGGUUUUCGGAUCGUAAAACUCUGUUGUUAGAGAAGCGGUAUCUAACCAGAAAGCCACGGCUAACUACGUGCCAGCAGCCGCGGUAAUAC